rnacentral:rRNA from 1 species
AACACGUGGGGAACCGUGCCCCACUAGUCUGGGAUACCACUUGGAAACAAGGUGCUAAUACCGGAUAAGAAAGCGGAUCGCAUGAUCAGCUUUUAAAAGGCGGCGUAAGCUGUCGCUAUGGGAUGGCCCCGCGGUGCAUUAGCUAGUUGGUAAGGUAAAGGCUUACCAAGGCGAUGAUGCAUAGCCGAGUUGAGAGACUGAUCGGCCACAUUGGGACUGAGACACGGCCCAAACUCCUACGGGAGGCAGCAGCC